AGAAUUUCGAUCGUCUUACUCCAAUUAUGAAAUUAGUACGGCUGUUUUUUUCUAAAUUUAUGGCAUCCAAGAAAGACUUCACAAGACCUUGCACCAGUUACGAUAAAACAAAAAACAUGUGACCAUCUCAAGAAGAUGUAGAAGGAAAUAUUUGACACAUGCUGCUGUUACAGCUCUGCACACUUUUUAAAACUGUACAGAUGUCAGGACUGGCCCCCCCUUCUAUGGCUUCUUCACUGCUGCCACCAGCUUACAUCCUACUUACAUCUGAUGACCGGCAACACCAGUGUUAUCACUUCCUGGGUUAUGAACCCCUAAGCCUGCCUCUUCCACAUCAGGUUUACCAUGAAGAACAAGAAGAAACUUCACAAGCUACAUUUGUCCCAAGGCAGAAAUCAAUGAAUGGGGUGCCAAUAUAUUACAGGCAACAAUCACAUAUCUUCGGCAAAAUCUGAAUUGGCAGUUAACUUUACUCACAUACUUUUGUGAGGUGCCAUCUUCACAAUGACAGAAACUACCAUUCAAAUCCAAGAUUCUGGAGUUGUGUGGUGAAUGCUCUACUCCCAUAUGCCCAAAUCCAUGCUGUUAAGGUUAACUGGUGAUUCCAAACUGACCCAGAAUGAAUGCAGGUGUGUGACAGACUUGUGUCCAACCCAUGGCUGUAUCUUGCCUUGUGCCAAGUGCUGCCAUGAUGGACUCCAGGGCACUGUGACCCUAAAUUAGAUUUAUCACUUCUGAGAAUGUAAAAUAAUAUAUGUGAAAUUGAAACUCAAGUUAGCCAUAUUACAUAAUGCUGAACACCCUACCCAACGCUAAAAUGUCAGUCAAUCUAAAAGUGUAAACUCACCAUAAAGUGGUAAAUUUUAAUAAUGUGGUGAAUGCUUCAAAGAGGUUUAUCAGCUGUCCUGUCAAAUUGUGGACAGUGAGACAUAUUAGGACACAAGAAUGUAGACCAGAUUCUUCUUUAAUAUUUGGAACCCAAAGAUCUCUUCUAACAAAGAAUGCAGCUUCUGUAAAACAUGGGGAAAUAAGACUCACCUAAAUA